rnacentral:lncRNA from 1 species
AGAGUCCCCUUUGCUCCCUGCAGAUGCUGCCCAGGAUCACCACCAAGAAGAAGGGGGCUGUGGACAACAAGGCUGCGGAGGAGGAAGAUGAGGAAGAGGACGACUGGUGGAGCAAAUUCUACGCGGCCAUGGGGGACAAGGCAAAGAGCCGGAGGAGGAACAACAGGGACAGACUGAAGAUCUACAGCUGCGAGCUGGAGGCGGUGCCCGAAUUCGAGGGGCUGCAGGAUUUCUGUCAGACCUUCCCCCUCUACCAACCGGGGGGGCACCCCACGCCGGGGGAGGACCCUGUGGGCGAGUUCAAGGUGGGUGAGAGCCCCUUGGGGGGACCCCAGAGCUGGGGUGGGGGCACCUCGGGGUGCACAGCCAGGUGGGUCUCCCAGGGGCUUUUCUGUGUCUACCCCCUGCCCGAGGAC